rnacentral:sRNA from 1 species
GUAGUUGGUUUUUUUAUAGCAUAACUUAGCUGAAAAGGAUACACCGAAAAGGAAAAGAGGAAUCUGAUAAAGUCAACUUUUGUUUUUCACUCAAUAUUUUAUUUUAGGGUGUGUUGGCAAAAUAGUCACUUUUUCAAACUUAAUUAAGAAAGUAGUCACUUUACUAUUUAUAAUUUGCAAAAUAGUCACUUUUCACAGUUUGAUUCGUACACUUGGAUUGUACAUCACUUUUAGUAUACAAAUGUAAAGUGUACGCUGUGUAUUUUUAUAUAUAUUUGUACACUAAAAGUGAUGUACAAUCUAAGUGUACGAAUCAAACAGUGAAAAGUAACUAUUUUGCAAAUUAUGAAUAAUAAAGUGACUACUUUUCUAAUUAAGUUUAAAAAAGUGACUAGUUUGCAAAUUAACUCUUUAUUUU